rnacentral:rRNA from 1 species
GCUUCCUACGGGAGGCAGCAGUGGGGAAUCUUGCGCAAUGGGCGAAAGCCUGACGCGGCCAUGCCGCGUGAAUGAUGAAGGUCUUAGGAUUGUAAAAUUCUUUCACCGGGGACGAUAAUGACGGUACCCGGAGAAGAAGCUCCGGCUAACUUCGUGCCAGCAGCCGCGGUAAUACGAAGGGGGCUAGCGUUGCUCGGAAUUACUGGGCGUAAAGGGAGCGUAGGCGGACAGUUAAGUCAGAGGUGAAAGCCCAGGGCUCAACCCUGGAAUUGCCUUUGAUACUGAUUGUCUUGAGUAUGGGAGAGGUAUGCGGAACUCCGAGUGUAGAGGUGAAAUUCGUAGAUAUUCGGAAGAACACCAGUGGCGAAGGCGGCAUACUGGCCCAUUACUGACGCUGAGGCUCGAAAGCGUGGGGAGCAAACAGGAUUAGAUACCCUGGUAGUCCACGCCGUAAACGAUGAGUGCUAGUUGUCGGCAUGCAUGCAUGUCGGUGACGCAGCUAACGCAUUAAGCACUCCGCCUGGGGAGUACGGUCGCAAGAUUAAAACUCAAAGGAAUUGACGGAAGC